UUUCCAAUUACUCAAGACCCUGAGAGAACAUUUGUUCGUAUCAUAAUACCUGAAUAUUUUUUGUAUUAUAAUGCUUUUAAAGCGUAUGUGCGAGCUGAUCAGAGCUGUACACCCGUGAGAAGCAGGAGCUGUGUACUCCCAUACGCCCCAGGUCAAGGAUGAGCGAACUGGGAAGAAGAGAGAAGAAGGGAGGGCUGCUACACUGCGUGCAGCAUCGAGGACGGCAAAGUCUUGUCUGUCUCUUGAGCUCCUGUUUCAUUAAGUAUAAAGUAACCCCGCAAGUCUCAUGUAUCUGGGACUGACUCCCACAGCAUUAAUGUUCACUUGCAGUGAACCCACACGAUAAAGUUUUAAAGGCAAAAAGUCAGCACCAUGGAAACACAGUAUAUGUGAAAUUAGAAAAAAAAAAAACAAAAAAAACCCCACAUGUCAAUAAAUCAAACGGAAUGCUUCAAGUGUGCCUUUGUUCGGAAGAGUCCUGGCGCCUGUCAGAGUUCUCCAAGCACAACGACCAAGCACGAUGCAGACAGGGCAGCAUGGGCAAAGCCAAGGUGUGCGGAGGGGCCGGUCUGACAGGGACCCUGCAGAAGCAGACACAAGUCCCUUCUUUAUGCUCUUACCCAAAGACCACACAGAACAAACACUGUAAAGAUGUAUCGCAGGAAGCACUGAACAGAUGGGGCUAUUUUUAUCGUUCUUCCGUCGUUUUCUGUUUUGGUUCGAGCAAAUCUCAACCAGAGGGGCCUUGAGAGCAUGUCAGAAUAUUUUUUUUUGCUGCUCCUAAUAAUGAAACUGCCACAAAUAAGUACUUGCUGCAAGUAUAAAUGUGUGAUGGAGUAUUUCAUAUCAGGCAUCCAUUGUUUCUAUACAUUGAGGAUACGUUUACAGGUAUAAAAAUGCGGGCAAAUCUUUUCUACUGGUCCUGUCUUUUUUUGUUUAAUAUUACAUUUCUUUAAGUUUGGAGUCAUCUUUUUUUGCUGGUCUUGCUCAGCAUCCAUCACAGCCCACGAAAUUACCCUUUUACUGAGGCUCCAUGGACGGAUAAUUUAUACUUGCAUUUGUGAUCCAAGUAGAACCUUGCCAAUGCUAACAUCUUAUUAUAGCCAUAAAUGUACAACAAAAGUGAGUUUACCUGUUUCUACAGCUACCCAUGUUAGUCUCAGCUUUCAAGAUAAAAGGAAGGGUUUUUCAGACAGCAUUUGAUAUUGUUCAUUACCAGGUAAAGACACUUAAGUGCGCAUCUCCACUAUUCUCUUUGUAGAGCAUGACUGCAUUAAACUACUACAGCGACCAUAAAAAGCUGAGGGGGAGUUCAGGCAUCAAAUGUGCUUCCUGGAAGCCCGAGAACUGAAGUAAUUCACUGAGUGGUCUCCUGGCAUUGAUACAAGAAAGGAGGGAACUUCAUGUACAGCACUGACCUUUACGGAUCAAAUAUUUUUUAUUUGUUCAGAGGCAUGUGCCUAUGCGAUGAAGGGCUCUAUUCAGGAGUGGCCACGCGGGCGGCCUCACGCGCUGCCAUAGGAUCUGCCUGCAGUCGGCACAUGGCUUGCAGGAGCUGCUCAGCCACUGUGUCAUUUGAAGUGGGACAACACCAGACCCACAGGAAUCCUUGAAUUAACCUUGAGAAGAAAUCCCAGCCAUCGUGUGAGCCCCUAUGGAAACACCCAGCUGCCAUAACUCUCCUGUCUGACACUAAGCAAGACCCAUCCAUGAGGCAGCAGCUUGCUCUGACUGAUGGUACCUUCAAGCAUUAUGCCACAGGGAUAGGAAAGCCGCUCUGAGAUACAAUGGAAUGAGGAUAAAAAGCAAAAGAAUGAAAAAAAUAGCUGCAAGAAUAUUGUGUGCCCAGCAAUUGCAAUAAAAGCUCAAAUCAUAUCGCUCUGCGUGCUGUUUUCAGAUGUCCUUGGGCAUCCCAAGUUUGAGAAUAAACACAGAGAUACAGUACAUAAACGCUCAUCAGGGCAUGUCAGUGAGCCAGGCCAGAAAGCAGCCCGGGAAUGUGAGAAACAACCCGUGUUGGUAAGUGCUGCUUAGCAACACUGCCCUUCUAUGGCAAAAGAUUAAUCACAUUUGCAGUGUCAUUGGAAAUACUUAGUUCCGUCCAUUUGAAAAAUCAGAUGGGGAUGCGUUGAAGUCCCAGAGGUUACCAAAGGGACAGCAUGGGUCUGUCUAGGUCAUGGAAACUGAAAUUAUGUCAAAUGAGAGGCACGGGGGGUUAAUUAAGAAUAUGACAAAUCUAAUGCAUGCAAGUAUCAGCAAAUCACAGAUAGAAGAGGCAGUAACUUCAAUACAUAACACCUCAUCUCUGGUCAAUAAAGGAUUGCUACUAAUGUUCUAUUCUUGUAUAGAUGAUACCUAUCUUGUUGAAAAUAUCCUGGUCACAGGUCUUCUCCCACUGCCCUGGAGAGAGAAUGCUGCAGCCUGGCAGCUCCCAGCUGCCCACACCUCUUCUCUCAGGUCAUUUCUCCUGACACUCAGCUAGAAGUUUCUUUGCAGAAUUUCACUCUGUUCUUUUCUAUCAGGGAAAGACUGAAAUGGUCGCCCCCAGCCAGCACACGCCUUUAGUCCUUGACUGAGAGAAUUACCAAAAGGUUCAGCAAGCCAAGGCCCUCUGGUAAGGCAACCAGAAUCUGGGGAAGUCUGUGUGCACCAGCACUGGUGGCACGUGCAAUGUCCACAAGGAACAGCAGCGCAUUGAUAGCCUGAGUGCAGCAAUGCAACUACCAGGAAGAAUCUUAAACACAGCUGCAAUUCAGCAGCCAUCGUUAUUCAGGGAUCACCCGAUUCUUCAGGUUGGAUUCUUUUGUUCUCCUAUUAAAACAAAACCACACUACUCUGGAUUAUUUGUUCACAUUUCCAUAAUUAUCAUACUGUCAACAUUUCAUAUCCAACCCAGACACAUAAAUAUUCCUUAGGAAGGUAGGAGAAGGGUAAUUGAGCAAUCAGGGAUGAAUGAUGCAGAAACAGAGAUACAAGCAGAAUGCAAGUAACCUUGAAGAACAAAGACAGUUAUUUACCCGAAGAGAAGAGCAACAAGAAACAGACUACCUAGAUGGAGCCAAGCAAGGAUGUCACCUGGGGAAGAAAUUCAAUGGGAUAAAACAAUUUUCUUAUUUAACUGGCACAAUGGAAUCAACCAUCCAAGAGGACAGACUGCUCAUAUACAACACUUCUUUGCCUGUUGUUUAGCAGGAACAACCCUGACAGAGCGCUGCCAACAUUGCACGGGAACAUAAGUGAUGCCAGGUGAUGCCUUGCCAGAGCUGCUUCCUGUCUGGAGAAGC